rnacentral:misc_RNA from 1 species
AAGUCGUAACAAGGUAACCGUAGGUGAACCUGCGGUUGGAUCAUUAAUAAAAAAUAAAACAAUCAUCCCUAACCACCCCCUCCUUUGGGAAAAGGGGGGCGGGGGCGGGUGAUUCACCCCACUUGUGAACUGUUUAACGUACCCUGUUUUGGCAGCCCACCAAUUAUAAAAGAAAAAGGGAUGUUUAGAUAUCCUUUUUUUGGGGCUGUCAAAACGUUUAUAUAUAAAAUCUUGUAUUUAUUUUUGUGCUCGAGUUAUUAAAAAAAAAUUAAUUGAAAGAAACAACUUUUGACAACGGAUCUCUUGGCUCUC